rnacentral:rRNA from 1 species
GACGAACCGUGCGAACGUUGUUCGGAAUCACUGGGCUUAAAGGGCGCGUAGGCGGGUGACCAAGUCCGGGGUGAAAUCUUUCGGCUCAACCGGAAAAGGGCUUCGGAUACUGGUCGCCUCGAGGAAGGUAGGGGCAUGCGGAACUUCCGGUGGAGCGGUGAAAUGCGUUGAUAUCGGAAGGAACGCCGGUGGCGAAAGCGGCGUGCUGGACCUUUACUGACGCUGAGGCGCGAAAGCCAGGGGAGCGAACGGG